GGAUUAGAUACCCUGGUAGUCCACGCCGUAAACGAUGUCUACUAGUUGUUGGGGGACUUGAUUCCUUAGUAACGAAGCUAACGCGAUAAGUAGACCGCCUGGGGAGUACGGCCGCAAGGUUAAAACUCAAAUGAAUUGACGGGGGCCCGCACAAGCGGUGGAGCAUGUGGUUUAAUUCGAUGCAACGCGAAGAACCUUACCUACUCUUGACAUCCAGAGAACUUAGCAGAGAUGCUUUGGUGCCUUCGGGAACUCUGAGACAGGUGCUGCAUGGCUGUCGUCAGCUCGUGUCG
rnacentral:rRNA from 1 species